GCAAACGGGGCCGGAAAGCGUGGCAGCGCAGGCGCAAGCGCAGAGAGCGGAGGCGGUGGUGGUGGCGGCCGCUGGCCAGUGUAAGAUGGCGGCGGCGUUGGUGGUGGCAGUGGACGGGGCGGCUGGGCCUGGAACAGUCGGAGCAGCCGCUAGCAGAAGGAUGACCCAAGACGGGAAGCGGGCUGCUGAGCCUCGCCGAUUCCCGUGCUUGUAACUGCCCCAGCCGGACACCCCCCCUCCCUUGACCUACCCGGUCUGUGUCUCGUUCCGGCUCGGCCUGCGCCCCCCCUCGCUUCCCAGCCGGUUUCCCCUAAGGAUGGGCCUGACCCGUAUCCCAAGCUCUUAGCGCUCAGGUCUUUUCCUUCCGCCGACCCGAAGUCAUCGCUGGGAGUACUGGUUGCCCUUUCCUCAGGAGCUCAGCCUGGCCUUACUUCAGUGAUAAAAGGAGGAAAGGCUGGCUACAGCAAACAUCAUUCAAGAUGUCCAGCAAAGGGAGCAGCACAGAUGGCAGAACAGACUUAGCUAAUG
rnacentral:lncRNA from 10 species